rnacentral:rRNA from 1 species
AGCCUGCAACUCGGCUGCAUGAAGCUGGAAUCGCUAGUAAUCGCGGAUCAGAACGCCGCGGUGAAUACGUUCCCGGGUCUUGUACACACCGCCCGUCACACCAUGGGAGCCGGAAACGCCCGAAGCCAGCGGCCCAACCGCAAGGGGGGAGCUGUCGAAGGCGGGGCCGGUGACCGGGGUGAAGUCGUAACAAGGUAUC